GGGUCAAAUCCCCCUUGGGCUGGCUCUUGUCCAUCACUUGCUGAAGUAGACCGACUGGUGCCUGGUGUGGGGCCUCCCCGGACAAUUUUGCUUCAUUGGUGCUUGGACCUCUCAGUUCUCAGAUGAAGAUGGCCUUGCCCGGGAAUCCUGCUUGUUCCAUCAUCAUCUAACUAUGGCACAAGGUCAUAGCAGUGGGUUUGGGGGCAGGAGAACGGAGCUAACCCAGCCAUCCAGGAAAAACUGGAGGACUUGCCCAGCCUUUAAAGGACUCUAGUGGUUUCUGAAUCUAGCCCAUUCUGGCGGUAAGCAUGAUGCAACUUCUGCAGUUUCUGCUGGGGCUUUGGGGGCCAGGUGGCUACUUGUUCCUUUCAGGGGAUUGUCAGGAGGUGGCCACUCUCACUGUGAAAUACCAAGUAUUAGAGGAAGUGCCGUCUGGCACAGUAAUAGGGAAGCUGUCCCGGGAACUGGGCCGGGAGGAGAGGCGUCAGCCAGAGGGGGCUGUCUUCCAGGUCUUGCAGCUCCCUCAAGUGCUCCCCAUUCAGGUGGACGCUGAAGACGGCUUGCUCAGCACGGGGAGGCGGCUGGACCGAGAGCAGCUCUGCCGGCAGCAGGAUCCCUGCCUGGUUUCCUUUGACGUGCUUGCCACAGGGGAUUUCGCUCUGAUCCACGUCGAGAUCCAGGUGCUGGACAUCAAUGACCACCAGCCUCAGUUUCCCAAAGGUGAGCAGGAGCUGGAAAUCUCUGAGAGUGCCUCUCUACAUACCCGGAUCCCGCUGGACAGGGCUGUUGACCCAGAUACUGGCCCCAACACACUGCACACAUACACUCUGUCUCCCAGUGAGCACUUUGCCCUCGAUGUCAUCGUGGGGCCUGAUGAGACCAAAUAUGCAGAACUCGUGGUGGUGAAGGAGCUGGACCGGGAAAUCCACUCAUUUUUUGAUCUGGUGUUAACCGCCUAUGACAGUGGGGACCCACCCAAGUCAGGCACCAGCUUGGUUAAGGUCAAUGUCCUGGACUCCAAUGACAAUAGCCCAGUGUUUGCCGAGAGCUCGCUGGCACUAGAAAUCCAAGAAGAUGCUGCCCUUGGUACUCUCCUCAUAAACCUGACUGCCACCGACCCUGACCAAGGCCCCAACGGGGAGGUGGAGUUUUUCCUCAGCAAGCACGCGCCUCCGGAAGUGCUAGACACCUUCAGUAUCGAUGCUAAGACAGGCCAGUUCAUUCUGCGUCAACCACUAGACUAUGAGAAGAAUCCUGCCUAUGAGGUGGAUGUCCAGGCGAGAGACCUGGGUCCCAAUCCCAUCCCAGCCCAUUGCAAAGUUCUCAUCAAGGUUCUGGACGUCAAUGACAAUGCCCCUAGCAUCCAUGUUACGUGGGCCUCCCAGUCACCACUGGUGUCAGAAGCUGUUCCCAAGGAUAGUUUCAUUGCUCUCGUCAUGGCAAAUGACUUAGACUCAGGAAACAAUGGUCUGGUCCACUGUUGGCUGAGCCAAGAGCUAGGCCACUUCAGGCUGAAAAGGACCAAUGGCAAUACAUAUAUGCUGCUUACCAAUGCCACGCUGGACAGAGAACAGUGGCCCGAAUAUACCCUCACUCUGUUAGCCCAAGACCAAGGACUCCAGCCCUUAUCAGCCAAGAAACAACUCAGCAUUCAAAUCACUGAUGCCAAUGAUAAUGCACCUGUGUUUGAGAAGAGCAGGUAUGAGAUCUCCACUCGGGAAAACAAUCUACCCUCUCUUCACCUCAUCACUGUCAAGGCUCAUGAUGCAGACUUGGGCAUCAAUGGAAAAAUCUCAUACCGCAUCCAGGACUCCCCAGUUUCUCACUUGGUAGCUAUUGACUCAGACACAGGAGAGGUCACUGCUCAGAGGACACUGGACUAUGAACAGAUGGCCAGCUUUGAGUUCCGGGUGAUUGCAGAGGAUAGGGGGCAGCCCCAGCUUGCAUCCAGUGUCUCCAUGUGGGUCAGCCUCCUAGAUGCCAAUGAUAACUCCCCAGAAGUGGUUCAGCCUGUGCUCAACAAUGGAAAAGCCAGCCUCUCAGUGCUUGUAAAUGCCUCCACGGGCCACCUUCUGGUGCCCAUCGAGACUUUCAAUGGCUUGGGUCCAGCUGAUGUUGACAUACCACCACUGGCCACCCACAGCUCCCCGCCAUUCCUUUUGACUACCAUUGUGGCAAGGGACGCAGACUCAGGGGCAAAUGGAGAGCUCCUCUACAGCAUUCGGAGGGGUAACAAAGCUUGCCUCUUUGUCCUCAGCCCCCACCUAGGGCAGCUGUUCAUCAAUGUCACCAAUGCCAGCAGCCUCAUUGGGAGCGAGUGGGAGCUGGAGAUAGUGGUAGAGGACCGUGGCAGUCCCUCCUUGCAGACCCAAGCCCUGUUGAAGGUCAUGUUUGUCACCAGCGUGGACCACCUGAGGGACUUGGCCCAUGAGCCCGGGGCCCUGAGCACACCAGUACUGACGGUGAUUUGCCUGGUUGUACUACUGGCCAUCUUCGGGUUGAUCUUGGCUCUGGUCAUGUCCAUCUGCCGGACAGAGAAGAAGGACAACCGGGCCUACAACUGUCGGGAGGCUGAGUCCACGUACCGCCACCAGCCCAAGAGGCCCCAGAAACACAUUCAGAAGGCAGACAUCCACCUUGUUCCUGUGCUCAGGGGACAGGUGGAUGAGCCUGGUGAAGUUGGACAGCCCCACAAGGACACAGGCAAGGAAGCGAAUACGAGUGAAGGCUGGGACCCCUGCCUGCAGGCCCCCUUUCACCUUACUCCGACCCUGUACAGAACCUUGCGUAACCAAGGCAACCUGGGAGCACUGACUGAGAGCCAGGAGGUGCUGCAGGACACAGUUAACCUCCUUUUCAACCACCCCAGGCAGAGGAACGCCUCCCGUGAGAACCUGAACUUUCCUGAGCCCCAGCCUGCGUUGGGCCAGCCACGCUCAAAGCCCCUGAAGGCUGCAGGCAGCCCCACUGGGAGACUGCUCGGAGACCAGGGCAUUGGGGAGGCCCCGCUGAGCCCACCAGCCUCCUCUGCAACCCUGAGGCGGAAGCGGAAUCUCAAUGGUAAAAUGGUUCCUGAGAAAGAGUCAGGCCCCCGUCAGAUCCUGCGGAGCCUGGUCCGGCUGUCCGUGGCUGCCUUCGCAGAGCGGAACCCUGUGGAGGAACUCACCAUGGAUUCUCCUCCUGUUCAGCAAAUUUCCCAGCUGCUGUCCUUGCUGCAUCAGGGCCAAUUCCAGCCCAAACCAAACCACCGGGGAAAUAAGUACUCGGCCAAGCCCGGCAGCGGUGGCAGGUAAGCAGCACGAGUACAGUACUAGAUACAGAAGGCACAGGUGCCAGGGUUGGUGGCCAGGCAGAACUGGACCAGGAGGAGGGGCUCUUGGACCCUGAAGAAGACCUCUCUGUGAAGCAGCUGCUAGAAGAAGAGCUGUCAAGCCUACUGGAUCCCCACACAGGCCUGGCCUUGGACCGGCUGAGCGCCCCCGACCCAGCCUGGAUGGCGAGGCUCUCUUUGCCCCUCACCACCAACUACCGCGACAACGUGUGCUCCCCGGACGCUGCGGCCGCGGAGGAGCCUCGGACCUUCCAGACGUUUGGGAAGGCGGCGGGGCCUGAGCUGAGCCCUACGGGCACGCGGCUGGCCAGCACCUUCGUUUCAGAGAUGAGCUCACUGUUGGAGAUGCUGCUGGCGCAAAGCUCCAGCGUGGUACCCGUGGAAGCCGCCUCUGAGGUGCUGCGGCGGCUGUCGGUCUGCGGGAGGACCCUCAGUCUGGACCUGGCCACCAGCGGGACCUCAGGCACGGAAGCCCAGGGUGCCCCAGGUGGAAAGACGGGGGCCAAGGGCAGGACCUGCAGCAGUAGCAGCAGCAGAGGUCUGUGA